UUUCCGUAGGUGAACCUGCGGAAGGAUCAUUAAUGAGUUGUCAUGGGGUUCGAUGCUGGCAGCCAGUUUUUGGAUGCAUGUGCUUGCCCUAACAAUCAUCUUCUUCCAAACACCUGUGCACAUUUUUGAGGGAGUCUUGAGUUGGUUGCCGCUCUUGGGUGAUUUUCUCACAUUCCCUUGAAUCAUUAUACGCUAUUAACAAUGUUGAACGUGCUCUGUGCCGCAAGGCCAUUAAUAUAAUACAACUUUUAACAACGGAUCUCUUGGCUCUC
rnacentral:misc_RNA from 1 species